rnacentral:rRNA from 1 species
AGAGUUUGAUCCUGGCUCAGGACGAACGCUGGCGGCACGCUUAACACAUGCAAGUCGAACGAGAGAAGAGGAGCUUGCUUUUCUGAUCUAGUGGCGGACGGGUGAGUAACACGUGAGCAAUCUGCCUUUCAGAGGGGGAUACCGAUUGGAAACGAUCGUUAAUACCGCAUAACAUAAUUGAACCGCAUGAUUUGAUUAUCAAAGAUUUAUCGCUGAAAGAUGAGCUCGCGUCUGAUUAGCUAGUUGGUAAGGUAACGGCUUACCAAGGCGACGAUCAGUAGCCGGACUGAGAGGUUGAUCGGCCACAUUGGGACUGAGACACGGCCCAGACUCCUACGGGAGGCAGCAGUGGGGAAUAUUGCACAAUGGAGGAAACUCUGAUGCAGCGAUGCCGCGUGAGGGAAGAAGGUUUUAGGAUUGUAAACCUCUGUCUUCAGGGACGAAAAAAGACGGUACCUGGGGAGGAAGCUCCGGCUAACUACGUGCCAGCAGCCGCGGUAAUACGUAGGGAGCGAGCGUUGUCCGGAAUUACUGGGUGUAAAGGGAGCGUAGGCGGGAUCGCAAGUCAGAUGUGAAAACUAUGGGCUUAACCCAUAAACUGCAUUUGAAACUGUGGUUCUUGAGUGAAGUAGAGGUAAGCGGAAUUCCUAGUGUAGCGGUGAAAUGCGUAGAUAUUAGGAGGAACAUCAGUGGCGAAGGCGGCUUACUGGGCUUUAACUGACGCUGAGGCUCGAAAGCGUGGGGAGCAAACAGGAUUAGAUACCCUGGUAGUCCACGCCGUAAACGAUGAUUACUAGGUGUGGGGGGACUGACCCCUUCCGUGCCGCAGCAAACGCAAUAAGUAAUCCACCUGGGGAGUACGACCGCAAGGUUGAAACUCAAAGGAAUUGACGGGGGCCCGCACAAGCAGUGGAGUAUGUGGAUUAAUUCGAAGCAACGCGAAGAACCUUACCAGGUCUUGACAUCGUAUGCAUAGCUCAGAGAUGAGUGAAAUCUCUUCGGAGACAUAUAGACAGGUGGUGCAUGGUUGUCGUCAGCUCGUGUCGUGAGAUGUUGGGUUAAGUCCCGCAACGAGCGCAACCCUUACUGUUAGUUGCUACGCAAGAGCACUCUAGCAGGACUGCCGUUGACAAAACGGAGGAAGGUGGGGAUGACGUCAAAUCAUCAUGCCCCUUAUGACCUGGGCCUCACACGUACUACAAUGGCUGUCAACAGAGGGAAGCAAAGCCGCGAGGUGGAGCGAACCCCUAAAAGCAGUCUUAGUUCGGAUUGUAGGCUGCAACCCGCCUACAUGAAGUCGGAAUUGCUAGUAAUCGCAGAUCAGCAUGCUGCGGUGAAUACGUUCCCGGGCCUUGUACACACCGCCCGUCACGCCAUGGGAGUCGGUAACACCCGAAGCCUGUAGUCUAACCGCAAGGAGGACGCAGUCGAAGGUGGGAUUGAUGACUGGGGUGAAGUCGAAACAAGGUA